UCGAUCUUUUGGUCAUAAGGAAGGCCCAGGAUGACUUCGGGAGCUCUAUAGGAACGAGACUGGACGUAGAGGCACAAGUUGUCUGAUUUAAAGCAACUGCUUCCCAGGUCAAUGACUUUAAUCUCAGAUCUUCUAUAACUUUUGAUGAGAAUGUUCUCGGGCUUUAGGUCGCAGUGUAUAAUCCCCAGUCGAUGCAAGUAGUCCAGUGCCUCUAAACACUGACGAGUUAUGACCUGUAGGGACAAAGAUUAAACUGCCUAGUUACAUUUUCUACGAUUCCACUUCUAUGGACAAAGGCUGUAGAGAAUUAAAAGAAUCCAAUUCCACAAAUGAAGUCUUUUGGCCCAUAAAAGUACUCAUAUUCAGCAGAAAACAGUCAGAUGGAAAAAACAAAGGACCAUUAUUGAUCGGAGAGAACUACUGAGUCAAGCUAUAUUGAAAUUGACCUGUAAUCUGUUCAGCGAGAAAUAAGCUUCCCCGCCGGAUUCUUGAUUAAACUUCUGAAAUUCAUAUAGAUUUGCUCGAAGCAGUUCACAAACAAUGAAGAGAUGCUCCUGCACGGUUGUAUCAACAGGUUAGGGCAAAUAUAGAGGGAAAAUAAGCGGAUAUCAACCACAAGUGCCUGUGUCCGGACAUGGGGGGGGGGGGGGGGGGUGUGAAAGAUCGAACUCCUAAUUGGGUAAUGCUAAAUGCAUUAGUUCUAUCCCAUGGUAGUCCAGUUUGUGCCUUGUCCUCGUGAGUAAUCACGUUUCAAUCUAGAGAUGGAUAUGAUAAGGAGAAUUCCUAUCUUUUGAAAAACCACUUGUAAUACAGUGCCCACUGUGUAUCAACUUUAGUGAUUCACUUUGUUCAAAAUAGCAAUAAGCACACUGUAUGUAUUAACAGCUCUGAAGGCAUUUAUUUCGUUUGCAGAAGCUCAUGGAUAGUGAACGAUACUGUUCAAGCUAGAUAUCCUAUGUAAUACCUGUUCAACGUAUUUCAAGCUAGAUAUCCUUUGUAAUACUAUUCAAAGCAUAACAGGAGAAACAUCUGGUACACGACAAAAAGGAUUUUUUUCUCUUGUACCAAUAGAAGUUCAAAUGGGUGCAGAUGUACACCAACUGCAUACGAUAAUAAUUAAUUUCUCUAGUAACAAUCGGCAUAUUUUGCAAGAGACAUUCAACAUAUCCACCAAUGCCCUACCUGAUGAUAAAAGUAGUCGUAGAGGCGCAAUAUGUGGCAUUCAUCGGCAGGAUCAUGCUUAUUUACCAGCUUCAAAAGUUUAAUUUCAUCCAAACUCUGAUCGAAGAAAUCUUUAUCAUUUUUUAUGAUCUUCAGACAGACAUCCACGCCCGUAUACAAAUCAUGUGCUUG
rnacentral:lncRNA from 1 species